GGCUUGUUGGUCAAGGGGUAUGAUUCUUGCUUAGGAUGCGAGAGGUCCUGGGUUCAAUCCCCCGACGAGCCC
rfam:Danio rerio chromosome 4, GRCz11 reference primary assembly.